AGCAAGUUGUCACAAAGGAACCUCAACUGCCUACAGCAGAAGGUCCUCAUACAGCAAGAGAGAGGAAGACAGGAGCCAACGAAAACAUGCAUUGCAGCAAAUAGGGGUGAGAAGAAACAGCAUGGGACUUCUACUGUAUAAGAACCAUGUCUCCUUCUCUACUGUGAGAAUAUACUUUGCUUUGAGGGGCAACCUUCAUGAAAAUGGAUCUCAAAGGGGAACUGGACUAUAAAAGUGAAGGGUAAAACUACCCCAAAUUAUCUCUCUCUAUCCAUCUCUCUCUUCACCUAAGAUGACAAAAGAAACAGCUGUUGGGAGCAGACCCUGGCCUGAGAGUUUGGUCACCAAUGUUACUUAAAAAAAGAGUAGGUUGCCCACUGCCAGCAGGUGCCAAAGAAGUGACAAAUGUAAUUCAAAGUCCAGUGGCCACAUCCUUCCAUGAGAACUGUGAAGUGGAUGCAUUCUGAUUUGGAGGAGGAGGAAACAAACAAACAAAGCCAAUACAUGAAAAACUAGCAGCUGUUAGAAAAGCCCAGCAGCUUCUCUGAACACAAUCUGGCAGCCUGAAGAGGAGGAGAGAAAACAUGGUUUUGAGAUGAGCCUGAUAACCCGAGAAAAAUUAAUAGGGUCCUGGCUUUUAGCAAAUGGUUUUAUGGUACAUAACAAUGGUGCAUGCAGAGUGGUUACCUCUUGAUGUUUCUGCCAGUCCUUCCAAAGCUGAGCAGAAGAUUGGCAGAAGACUGCAUCUCCUAGUGCAGUGGGAAAUAGCUACUAGAUUUUGUUAUCAUAUAAAAUGUAACAAUUUGUCUUUUUCUAUUAAAGAACAACAAAAAUUUAAGGCAAUUUUAAAAAAAAAGUCAAGAAUUUUGGGUUCUUUGUUGGCCAAUUUUAUACAUUCAAGAUCUGAUUUUCAAAAAAUUGUGAGUAUCCCACAACUCCAGUGGAAAACAGUAGGAGAUGCUGGUACUCUGAAAAGUCAAGCCUAAAUUGUCUCAGAUUGAGCUCCAAAACACAGAGGAACCCAAAAUUAGUGGAUCCUUUUGAAAAUGUUGGUCUUCAUCCUUGAAAGAACCAAAAGCCUUCAAAAUAUCAUGUGAAGAAAAGUAAGAGCUGAAGUAGUACAAUUCAACACUGGGAGCCAGACAUUUCUAUUUCUAUACACCUAUCACCAAAAAAUAAUGAUUUGGGUUUUUUUAAAUCAACCUCCUCCCCAUUGGCAGAGACCUUAUUUGAAUUUC